rnacentral:tRNA from 1 species
UCCCUGGUGGCUUAGAUGGUAAAGAAUCUGCCUGCAAUGCAAGAGACCCAGGUUUGAUCCCUGGGUUGGGAG